UACAGAGGUCCCAAGCGUUGUUCGGAUUCACUGGGCGUAAAGGGUGCGUAGGCGGCGGGGCAAGUCUGAUGUGAAAUCUCCGAGCUUAACUCGGAAACUGCAUCGGAUACUGCUUUGCUCGAGGGUUGGAGGGGGGACUGGAAUACUUGGUGUAGCAGUGAAAUGCGUAGAUAUCAAGUGGAACACCAGUGGCGAAGGCGAGUCCCUGGACAACUCCUGACACUGAGGCACGAAAGCUAGGGGAGCAAACAGG
rnacentral:rRNA from 1 species